rnacentral:rRNA from 1 species
UCGCUGUGUGUUACAAGUGUCACACGGGAACUGCCGGUCAUAAACCGGAGGAAGGUGGGAUGACGUCAAGUCAGCAUGGCCUUAUAUCCUGGGCUACACACACGCUACAAUGGGAAGGGACAAUAGGUUGCGAAGCCGCGAGGCGGAGCCAAUCCAGCAAAACUUCCCUCAGUUCAGAUUGCAGGCUGCAACUCGCCUGCAUGAAGUUGGAGUUGCUAGUAAACGCAGGUCAGCCAUACUGCGUUGAAUACGUUCCCGGGGCUU